rnacentral:sRNA from 1 species
UGAUAUGUGCUAUAAUCAAUGACGUAGAAAAGUUAAUGACGGUGGCGGGAUUUAAUCGAAAGUGAGGUGGUGCGCAUUAGUGUACAACCUAAAUCUGGAGAAAGGAGCCAGCCUUUUGCUUGAGACUAUUCUAGCAGUGAUGGUUGCAGUUGUCGGUUUAAUUACCGCAAUUGUUCAACUUGU